rnacentral:rRNA from 1 species
AGAAUCAACGCUGGCGGCGUGCCUAACACAUGCAAGUCGAACGAGAAAGUGGAGCAAUCCAUGAGUAAAGUGGCGACCGGGUGAGUAACACGUGACUAACCUACCUUCGAGUGGGGGAUAACCUCGGGAAACCGAGGCUAAUACCGCAUAACAUCGCAAGAUCAAAGCAGCAAUGCGCUGGAAGAGGGGGUCGCGGCUGAUUAGCUAGUUGGCGGGUAACGGCCCACAAGGCGAAGAUCGGUA